GGGGGGUUCGAGGCCCAUUGUCUCCACCA
rnacentral:misc_RNA from 1 species